rnacentral:rRNA from 1 species
AGAGUUUGAUCCUGGCUCAGGAUUAACGCUGGCGGCGUGCCUGACACAUGCAAGUCGAACGAGGCCGCAAGGCCUAGUGGCGGACGGGUGAGUAACACGUGACCAACCAACCCCGAAGUUGGGAAUAGCUCUGCGAAAGUAGAGGUAAUACCGAAUGUGGUCCAGGGCGGACAUCCGCUCUGGUCUAAAGAUUUAUCGCUUCGGGACGGGGUCGCGGCCUAUUAGCUUGUUGGUGGGGUAACGGCCUACCAAGGCGAUGAUGGGUAGCUGGUCUGAGAGGACGACCAGCCACACUGGGACUGAGACACGGCCCAGACUCCUACGGGAGGCAGCAGUGAGGAAU